rnacentral:rRNA from 1 species
CCCUUAGAUGUUCUGGGCCGCACGCGUGCUACACUGAGUGGAUCAGCGGGUCAGGUUGCGCGAAAGCGUUUCCUAAUCUUUAAAUCCGCUCGUGAUGGGGAUUGACGGUUGCAAUUUUCUGUCAUGAACGAGGAAUACCUUGUAAGCGCGGGUCAUCAUCCCACGCUGAAUACGUCCCUGCCCUUUGUACACACCGCCCGUCGCUCCUACCGAUUGAGUGGUCCGGUGAGGCUUUGGGAUCUGAGCGGAAAGAGCGUUUCGCUGUUUCUGCUCGGAAAACUCAGUCGAACCUUAUCAUUUAGAGGAAGGAGAAGUCGUAACA